UGGGGAAUAUUGCGCAAUGGACGAAAGUCUGACGCAGCCAUGCCGCGUGAGUGAUGAAGGCCCUCGGGUCGUAAAGCUCUGUCGGGGGGGAAGAAGAUCUGACGGUACCCCCCAAGAAAGCACCGGCUAACUCCGUGCCAGCAGCCGCGGUAAUACGGAGGGUGCAAGCGUUGCUCGGAAUCACUGGGCGUAAAGCGUACGCAGGCGGUUUAUCAAGUCGGGUGUGAAAUCCCGGGGCUCAACCCCGGAACUGCACUCGAAACUGGUAGACUUGAGUACGAGAGAGGAAAGCGGAAUUCCUGGUGUAGAGGUGAAAUUCGUAGAUAUCAGGAGGAACACCCGUGGCGAAAGCGGCUUUCUGGCUCGAUACUGACGCUCAUGUACGAAAGCGUGGGGAGCAAACAGG
rnacentral:rRNA from 1 species